rnacentral:sRNA from 1 species
UGAGUUUUGUUAUAUCGAGGUAUUUUAUUUUUAUUUCAAAUUAAUGAUACAUGUACUUUGAAAUAACACUUUUUGGACACAAUUGCAGUGCUGUUUAAUGCAUUGUAUUAAAUUCAUAUUAUCUGAAAGUAUCAUAAUAUUCACUUAGUCUCUGAAAUAAUAAUAUGAAUAUGUGUUACAUGUAAGUCAUAUUUUUUAUAAUUGUUUGUGUGCUUCUUGCAUCUUAAUAUGGUUUUGUGAAAGUUUGAACUUGUGGGGGAACAAAAUAAAGAUUUUGAUAAUAACACAUUUAUUGAUAAGUAUUUUAUACUUUGUAGUUAUUUCUAUUUGAUACAUCCAAGAACAAAACAAAAAUUGCAUUAUCGAUUUACAGAUACUAUGUAAUCAGAAAAACACAUUUAUUUUUUUUAUUUUUUUUUUACAAAUUUGUUUUGAAAUCCAAUGAAGAUAUAGUACAUACUUAGGAAGUACCGGUAUUGUAUGCAAUUAAUUUGAUGUAUGUAAAAAUCCUGCAGAGGGAUAAAAAUUAAAGGGAAGGCUAGGGUACCAGAGGUUCUGAUUCUCGGUAAAUGUGUACUGGCAGUGUAGGGAAGUAAACAUAUGCUUUGUGUAUGUACUGUGGUGUCCUUAUGUGUAUGGUGCUUCACUGGGGUGAUUUCAAAGGCCUUUGUAAAGUCUGUAUUUUUUUUUUUAAUAAAAUAUUGUGUUGGGAAUCAUUCAUUUUAAGUUUUAAAUAAUUUGUACAUUUAUCAGAAUAUAUACAAAUAAAUUUCAUCUGUGAGU